GACGAACGCUGGCGGCGUGCCUAUACAUGCAAGUUUAGCCCCGAAGGGUGGUUCUUGUAACAACUGGAUGAGCAGCGAAAGGGUGAGUUACGCGGGGGGAAUCUUGCUUUGAGGGGGGGACAACAUUUGGAAACGAAAGCUAAUUCCGCAUAAAAACUUUAAAAACAAAUUUUAAGUUUGAAAAAAGCAAUUGGAACACUCAAAGAAGAUUCCGACUUGUAUUAGCUAGUUGGUGAGGUAAAGGCUCACCAAGGCGAUGAUACAUAGCCGACCUGAGAGGGUGAUCGGCCACAUUGGGACUGAGACACGGCCCAAACUCCUACGGGAGGCAGCAGUAGGGAAUCUUCGGCAAUGGACGAAAGUCUGACCGAGCAACGCCGCGUGAGUGAAGAAGGUUUUCGGAUCGUAAAACUCUGUUGGUAGAGAAGAACGUUGGUGAGAGUGGAAAGCUCAUCAAGUGACGGUAACUACCCAGAAAGGGACGGCUAACUACGUG
rnacentral:rRNA from 1 species